rnacentral:sRNA from 1 species
GAGCGCAACGCAUCGCCAGCCUUGGCUGGCUCUGAAGAGACCCCCGGGUCUUUCAGGUAACAGGGCCGCCGUUAAGGUGGCCUUUUUACUUUUG